rnacentral:tRNA from 2 species
GGGUGAUUAGCUCAGCUGGGAGAGCACCUCCCUNACAAGGAGGGGGUCGGCGGUUCGAUCCCGUCAUCACCCACCA